UCGAACGGUAACGCGGGCUUCGGCCUGGCGACGAGUGGCGAACGGGUGAGUACAACAUCGGAACGUAUCCUUAAGUGGGGGAUAGCCCGGCGAAAGCCGGAUUAAUACCGCAUGAUCUCUGAAGAGCAAAGCGGGGGACUUUCGGGCCUCGCGCUGUUGGAGCGGCCGAUGCCGGAUUAGCUUGUUGGUGGGGUAAGAGCCUACCAAGGCGACGAUCCGUAGCUGGUCUGAGAGGAUGAUCAGCCACACUGGAACUGAGACACGGUCCAGACUCCUACGGGAGGCAGCAGUGGGGAAUUUUGGACAAUGGGGGCAACCCUGAUCCAGCCAUGCCGCGUGCGGGAAGAAGGCCUUCGGGUUGUAAACCGCUUUCAUACGGGACGAAAUGAUGCAGGUUAAUACCCUGUAUUGCUGACGGUACCGUAAGAAGAAGCACCGGCUAACUACGUGCCAGCAGCCGCGGUAAUACGUAGGGUGCGAGCGUUAAUCGGAAUUACUGGGCGUAAAGCGUGCGCAGGCGGCUCUCUAAGACAGGUGUGAAAUCCCCGGGCUUAACCUGGGAAUUGCGCUUGUGACUGGGGGGCUCGAGUGCGGCAGAGGGGGAUGGAAUUCCUGGUGUAGCAGUGAAAUGCGUAGAUAUCAG
rnacentral:rRNA from 1 species